AAAUUAUAUCAAUAAUUUUUCUCAUUUAAUUUUUGUUAUAACCAUCCAUAAUAUGACAAAGAUUUCGUUCGUUACAAGUACUCGUAAAGAUUUCGUCACAAAAUGUAUAAUAUGUAUUUAGUAGGACCAUCGAAGCAAGGAACAUUCCAUGUGUCCGUAGAGAAGGCUACAAAAUGAGAUCGCUGCUGGUCUCAGCGAAAGCGAGGAUGCGAUACUAACGUAGAGUGCAAACCCAAGCACUUUGACUUGGGCACAUGUUGUGCCAACUCAGCGAAAAUGCAAGCUCAUAUCAUCAAAAGGAGGAGAGGCAAGGAAGCGAGAUUAAGCCCUUGUUCGACAGCUGGCAACGUAUAUCAUACGUAAUACACGUACGAGAAUAGCAGAGAGAGCAAUGUGUAAAGGAAGUACAUUUAGAAAGAACUCUACAUUUAUUAUAAUGUUUCAUAUACAACGAUGGAGGGUGGCGGAAGAAGACGAGGAGAGGAGAGGGAAAGCAGAGCAAGGGUGGGGCGACGAAGCUGCCGAUGGGAUGGGGAGCUAUGAGGGCGAAGUUAUCCAAUUAUUGUCUAACCUGGGAGCAACUUUACUUGGCGGAGAACCGUUGGUGGGAGGAAAGCUCGUCCUGCCAGCUCUCUCCCUUCCUACAAUCGAGCCACGAUAAAGUAAAGUUUGUUUCAAAACUUGCCGCGCGGAGAGGUGACUAGGUUUUUGUUAGUGACACGUGAAAUUCAAACGACUUCAUUGCGAUAAUAAUCGCGCAAGUUUUUAAUAUCGAUCAAUGAAAAGAAGAAAAUUCAGAUUCAAAUCAGGAUUCCAUAAAUUAACUCAAAAGUUCAUUAAUAAUGAUUGUAACAAAACUUUUUCAAUGUGAAUGUUUAAAAAAAUAACGUGUUAUAUUGCCUGAUAUAUGAUUAGAUACAAGAGAAAUAA